rnacentral:rRNA from 1 species
GACAAACGCUGGCGGCGUGCUUAACACAUGCAAGUCGAACGGAAAGGCUCCAGCUUGCUGGAGUACUCGAGUGGCGAACGGGUGAGUAACACGUGGGUAAUCUGCCCUGCACUCUGGGAUAAGCCUGGGAAACUGGGUCUAAUACUGGAUAUGACCUUUCUCCUUAUGGGGUUUGGUGGAAAGUUUUUCGGUGUAGGAUGAGCCCGCGGCCUAUCAGCUUGUUGGUGGGGUGAUGGCUUACCAAGGCGACGACGGGUAGCCGGCCUGAGAGGGUGAUCGGCCACAUUGGGACUGAGAUACGGCCCAGACUCCUACGGGAGGCAGCAGUGGGGAAUAUUGCACAAUGGGCGGAAGCCUGAUGCAGCGACGCCGCGUGAGGGAUGACGGCCUUCGGGUUGUAAACCUCUUUCAGCAGGGACGAAGCGUAAGUGACGGUACCUGCAGAAGAAGCACCGGCUAACUAUGUG